rnacentral:rRNA from 1 species
GACGGAGGGGGCAAGCGUUGUUCGGAUUCAUUGGGCGUAAAGGGUGCGUAGGCGGCGCGGUAAGUCGGGUGUGAAAUCUCGGAGCUUAACUCCGAAACUGCAUUCGAUACUGCCGUGCUUGAGGACUGGAGAGGAGACUGGAAUUUACGGUGUAGCGGUGAAAUGCGUAGAUAUCGUAAGGAAGACCAGUGGCGAAGGCGGGUCUCUGGACAGUUCCUGACGCUGAGGCACGAAGGUCAGGGGAGCAAACGGG